GAAUCAGAACAACUGGAUGAAAGAUGAUGGUGUUUCGUUCAGUCUCAUAUCAUGUAAAUGUUCCUGAUCUGCCAAACGUCAAAGAAAGAGGAGGAAAAUGAUUUUCGCUGUGAUGUUUGCCUGAUGAGGAAGCUUCAGCUAAGUUUCAAGGAAGGGAAGACUACUCUAACCAAUUCUGGACAGUCAAGUGGAGACUACUGCUUAAUGAGGAAGAUGGCGGCUCAUGUUUUGCUUUUGGAUUUGAAAAGAGACAUUUUAUUUGUUUGUGAUUUGCUAUGACAUUUUUAUUCAUUCGCUAAUGUGCUCAACCAUUUUUUUUUUUUUCACAUUUUGCUGCCUUGUUGUUUUGAUGAAAUGCCUGUAUUUUAAAUUUUUUAAAUGCUUAUUUGCCACUUUAAAAGAAAAAUAAAAAAAUUGUGAUUGAACAAUAUCGAGUUGCUCUUAUUGGAUGGAGAAUAAGAAUGGCGUUUCGCAAAUUUACUUUGCGAUUUACAUCGAAGUUUAACAUGGCUUGUCCAGGUAUUUAUUUUAAGUUUUUAUUUUCUUAUUUUAAAAAAAAAAAUAACAGGUCUGCUAUGUUAUUUACUUAAACUAUGAAUUAUUAACUGAUAAUCUAGGUUUUAUUUCAAAUAUUAAAGGGUCUGUCAUUUUCAACUGCCCAUAACGGUUUAUUUUAUUUAAUUCAUUUGAUGUACUCCAUAAUUAUGAAGCUUUCACAAAUUAUGUUUGUUUAAUCUAUUCCAUCAAUUAAUUUCUUGUUGAAUUAAGAUUGCUCAUUUGCUCACAAGAGCCAUCCUGCAAGCUUUGGUCCACACAAAUUUCCUUUCAAAUAUCUAAAUGGUCUAAAAUGGUGUCCAGAGUAGUCCAGCACUCACUGCAAAAUGGCAGUCUGUUGUCUCAUUUCCUGUCUAUGCAGGAAGUGAAGGCUUAAAUAAAUAAUUUUAUCAACAAAGAUAACAACUGCCCUUUUAUAACCACUAUUCAGUUGGUCAGCUAUUAUACUUGUAGGGUAGAACUAACUUGAGCUUUAAACUUAUAUAUGAAAUAACUAGUCUUUAUUGAAAAUAAAAGGGGUGGGACUUUCGUGCAUCACCUGAGCCCUGGGUAAAUGGAGAGAACGUCAAUCAAAGGCUAAGCUCUCAGAGCUGGGAAGGAGCUUUAGAUGGCGGAUGAACCUUGGGAAGGGGAGAGCGUUGAGCCUCGCAGGGCUCUCGAUAGCACUUGUGAAGAACUUUGCUGAACUUUGACUGCCUUUUGGGGCACCGUAAUCGCGCGAAAACGUUCGUUUUAUAACGUUUUGGACUAUAGAGACGUUUCGUGACUUUGUUUCGUCGAAAAGAGCUGUGGUGUGUGCGUAGAGUGCCCUAGUUCCGUUGUUUCCGUGCCUUGGGCGUUGUUCCACGGUAGUUUAUUUUUAAGUUUUUAAUUUUUCUUUAUUUUAAAAAUUAAAAAAAAAAAUACAGGUCUGCUAUGUUAUUUACUUAAACUAUGAAUUAUUAACUGAUAAUCUAGGUUUUAUUUUCAAAUAUUAAAGGGUCUGUCAUUUUCAACUGCCCAUAACGGUUUAUUUUAUUUAAUUCAUUUGAUGUACUCCAUAAGUGUCUCGACGUUAUUAUUUUAAUUUUAGUUUUCUUUUACUUUAAAUUAAAAAAAAAAAUACAGGUCUGCUAUGUUAUUUACUUAAACUAUGAAUUAUUAACUGAUAAUCUAGGUUUUAUUUUCAAAUAUUAAAGGGUCUGUCAUUUUCAACUGCCCAUAACGGUUUAUUUUAUUUAAUUCAUUUGAUGUACUCCAUAAUUAUGAAGCUUUCACAAAUUAUGUUUGUUUAAUCUAUUCCAUCAAUUAAUUUCUUGUUGAAUUAAGAUUGCUCAUUUGCUCACAAGAGCCAUCCUGCAAGCUUUGGUCCACACAAAUUUCCUUUCAAAUAUCUAAAUGGUCUAAAAUGGUGUCCAGAGUAGUCCAGCACUCACUGCAAAAUGGCAGUCUGUUGUCUCAUUUCCUGUCUAUGCAGGAAGUGAAGGCUUAAAUAAAUAAUUUUAUCAACAAAGAUAACAACUGCCCUUUUAUAACCACUAUUCAGUUGGUCAGCUAUUAUACUUGUAGGGUAUAUACGAAUACCCUAGACGUGUCACUCAUAUAGUUUUUCAAAGUUGGCCACUGAGAAGGGGAGAGCGUUGAGCCUCGCAGGGCUCUCGAUAGCACUUGUGAAGAACUUUGCUGAACUUUGACUGCCUUUUGGGGCACCGUAAUCGCGCGAAAACGUUUCGUUUUAUAACGUUUUUGGACUAUAGAGACGUUUCGUGACUUUGUUUCGUCGAAAAAGAGCUGUGGUGUGUGCGUAGAGUGGCCAGUUGUUGUUUUCCCUGCCUUGCGCUGGCAGCCAUUGCGGUCCUCCAUUUUUAGUGCGCUCUGCUGGGCUCUUCUCACACUCUCUCUCUCCAUUCAAAUAACCACCGGUGGGAUUACUGCUAUUAUUUUUCUUUCUGAAUAUUAUUCCGAUUAUUAUUUUCGUGUCAAUCCUGGAAUAUUUUUCAUCUUGUUUUUUUUUUUUUGGUUAUGGCCAAAGUAACAAAUCGGAUAUUUUGUCAGAUGUGAAUGUACUGCUACAAUCCUCCUCCUGUCAGUGCAUUAGGUAUGUUUACAACGUUUCUUUUCUAUUGUCGAUAUUAUUUGCUUUCAUCGUUAGGUUUUAAUGGUUCUUUGUUUGAUGACGCAGUAAGAAUUUAUGCAUGUGGCUCUGUGAAUCUGUUGCCUUGAAAUGCCAUCGACACAUGGAUAUUUCACACCGAAUAGAGUCGAGCAGGUGUCUUUUCAGUUCCGAUGCUUUUUAUAUUAAAUAAUAUUAAUAUUUAGUUAUUUUAAACUACCCGAUCGCAACUUGCCCUUUCCAUAUAUUACAACGGCAGGACUUUUUUUUUUUGACGGUUCAUCUCCACUUUAAACUUUUGACAGUUAAUACCUGGACAAAAGACCAUCAUUAACAAAUCCCAGGACAAAAUCAUGAUGAAGAA
rnacentral:lncRNA from 1 species